GACGAACGCUGGCGGCGUGCUUAACACAUGCAAGUCGAACGGAAAGGCCCUGCUUUUGUGGGGUGCUCGAGUGGCGAACGGGUGAGUAACACGUGAGUAACCUGCCCUUGACUUUGGGAUAACUUCAGGAAACUGGGGCUAAUACCGGAUAGGAGCUCCUGCUGCAUGGUGGGGGUUGGAAAGUUUCGGCGGUUGGGGAUGGACUCGCGGCUUAUCAGCUUGUUGGUGGGGUAGUGGAUUACCAAGGCUUUGACGGGUAGCCGGACUGAGAGGGUGACCGGCCACAUUGGGACUGAGAUACGGCCCAGACUCCUACGGGAGGCAGCAGUGGGGAAUAUUGCACAAUGGGCGGAAGCCUGAUGCAGCAACGCCGCGUGCGGGAUGACGGCCUUCGGGUUGUAAACCGCUUUCGCCUGUGACGAAGCGUGAGUGACGGUAAUGGGUAAAGAAGCACCGGCUAACUACGUG
rnacentral:rRNA from 1 species